UAUGUACUCCCUCCGUUCCAAAAUAGAUGGCUCAACUUUGUACUAACUUUAGUAUAAAGUUAGUACAAAGUUGAGCCAUCUAUUUUGGAACGGAGGGAGUAUAUG
rfam:Triticum aestivum genome assembly, contig: Triticum_aestivum_CS42_TGACv1_scaffold_542445_6DS